rnacentral:rRNA from 1 species
GACGAACGCUGGCGGCGUGCCUAAUACAUGCAAGUAGGACGCAGUUGCGAACGGGUGAGUAACGCGUAGGGAACUGCCUAUUAGAGGGGGAUAACUAUUGGAAACGAUAGCUAAUACCGCAUACUAGUGGAUGUACCUGCGUUGUAUUAGCUAGUAGGUAGGGUAAUGGCCUACCUAGGCAACGGUACAUGACCGAUCUGAGAGGGUGAACCGGCCAACUGGGACUGGGACACGGCCCAGACUCCUACGGGAGGCAGCAGUAGGGAAACUUCGGAAAUGGGGGGAACCCUGACCGAGCAACGCCGCGUGAGUGAAGAAGGUUUUCGGAUCGUAAAGCUCUGUUGUUAAGGAAGCGGUACUUAACCAGAAAGGGACGGCUAACUACGUGCCAGCAGCCGCGGUAAUUC